rnacentral:lncRNA from 1 species
GAAGUCUUCGCGGCGCAGGGAUGGGCUUCGCCAGAUAGGGUUCGAUUUUUCCUGAUUCUUGUGAUUUGGGGGUUAGGGGAUAGGGUUUGGAAAGGAGUUUCGAAAAUUCGUGUUUUCUAUAAUUUAUGAAAACUGGUGAACCUUAUCAUUCUUCAAACCUAUUAUCCGAAAUUGGAUCUGCAAAGGCAAUAGCUUUCCUGACUGAAAUCUUGCGAAAUGAAUGGCAAUAGCUUUCCUGACUGAUAUGGUUCUACCUAUUAUCCGAAAUUGGAUCUGCAAAGGUAGUAAAAUUGAAAUUGGG